rnacentral:rRNA from 1 species
GAUGAACGCUGGCGGCGUGCCUAACACAUGCAAGUCGAGCGAGGGUUUGCUCAGUAUUGAGUAUUCUAAAACUAGAAUGUUCAAUUCUGAGCAAAACCAAGCGGCGGACGGGUGAGUAACGCGUGGGUAACCUGCCCUAUACACAUGGAUAACAUACUGAAAAGUUUACUAAUACAUGAUAAUAUAUAUUUGCGGCAUCGCAGAUAUAUCAAAGUGUUAGCGGUAUAGGAUGGACCCGCGUCUGAUUAGCUAGUUGGUGAGAUAACUGCCCACCAAGGCGACGAUCAGUAGCCGACCUGAGAGGGUGAUCGGCCACAUUGGAACUGAGACACGGUCCAAACUCCUACGGGAGGCAGCAGUGGGGAAUAUUGCACAAUGGGCGAAAGCCUGAUGCAGCAACGCCGCGUGAACGAUGAAGGUCUUCGGAUCGUAAAGUUCUGUUGCAGGGGAAGAUAAUGACGGUACCCUGUGAGGAAGCCCCGGCUAACUACGUGCCAGCAGCCGCGGUAAUACGUAGGGGGCUAGCGUUAUCCGGAUUUACUGGGCGUAAAGGGUGCGUAGGUGGUCCUUCAAGUCGGUGGUUAAAGGCUACGGCUCAACCGUAGUAAGCCGCCGAAACUGGAGGACUUGAGUGCAGGAGAGGAAAGUGGAAUUCCCAGUGUAGCGGUGAAAUGCGUAGAUAUUGGGAGGAACACCAGUAGCGAAGGCGGCUUUCUGGACUGCAACUGACACUGAGGCACGAAAGCGUGGGUAGCAAACAGG